rnacentral:rRNA from 1 species
AUGCAGUAUGGAGCAAGAAUUUGGUCUCAUUGCAAGGUCACUACCUGGACAUAUAGCCAAGCAAUGUCAAGAGAGUUCUUCUCACCUAUAGCUAAAGUCAAAGACGACAAACCAGGUGAAUUUUUGGAGGUGCAAGAUACACAGAAUCGGCUAUCCAUCGGCUUUUUAAGUUUUGUUCCUAACUUCCUUGUGCCCAGGCAAGUUUCUGGAUGGCCAGGCAUUCGUUUUGUGCGUCUGCACCAGGCUAACGACCGUGCUUGGUGCUCCUGCCAGGCUAAUCAACAUGAACAUGGCAGAUGCUCCAGGCCAGGCAAGCUUUUUAAUGCUCAUGACACCAUCCAAACAAUCUCCAGGAUAGUAUCAGGCAAGCUCCAAGCUCCAGGCCAGGCAUCAAUACGCUUGAAUCGAGUGCUCCACCACCACAGAUCGGGAUCGAGCCAUCUUCUACCUCCGGCAACCGCGAGCACGUCACCGAUUUGUUCGCCGCAGCAGCUCCUAAGCCACCAACGGGCCCCCGUGUGCCCCCGCGGUGAGCUCCUCCCCCGUUCCCCUUGUCUUCCCCACCAAUCUGAUGUCGUUGGCUAUCGACCCCGACGAGUCCGGAGCUCCACUUGCCCUUUGGUCGCGUUCAUCGCGCCCCCUGCCCGUGCUCCCGUUGCGUCCUGGCCGCCCUGGGCACUCCCUGGUCGUGCCCCCGUGCAUGCCCGCUCGUGCAUUGCCGCAGCCCUCGCCUCGCUCGUUGUUGCCCGUUCGCUUUCGCCUGUGCCCGAUUGCUAG